UCAUUUGUUAUCUUUUUUGCUAACAUACUCUUUUGACCAUUUCUCUGCAGGAUCACAGAGAAAGUGAAUGACAGGUGGGAGGUUUGUGUGAGCCUUAGUGAUGGGAAAUUUCAACAGCUUUGUAAAUUCGAUUGCCACAAUCAAGGGUGGAACUCUUACCAUUCGUCCAAGCAGUUUUGGGUCUAAAUGUGAACUCCCACCAGAGUUCUUAAAGAAAGUGGCAAAGUCUGGCAUUAUGGAUAGUCUUCUUUCCUGGGCCAACUUCA